AAGUUAUUUGGCCGAGGACCAGGCAGAUAUUUUGAAAGUAUCUUACAGGGGUUUAAAUCCCCUAAUAAUUUG
rnacentral:tRNA from 1 species